AGAGUUUGAUCAUGGCUCAGAUUGAACGCUGGCGGCAUGCUUUACACAUGCAAGUCGAACGGCAGCGACAGGGAGCUUGCUCCCGGGUGGCGAGUGGCGCACGGGUGAGUAAUACAUCGGAACGUGUCCUGUUGUGGGGGAUAACUGCUCGAAAAGGGUGGCUAAUACCGCAUGAGACCUGAGGGUGAAAGCGGGGGAUCGCAAGACCUUCGCGCAAUUGGAGCGGCCGAUGCCCGAUUAGCUAGUUGGUGAGGUAAAGGCUCACCAAGGCGACGAUCGGUAGCUGGUCUGAGGAGGACGACCAGCCCACCACUGGGACUGAGACACGGCCCAGACUCCUACGGGAGGCAGCA
rnacentral:rRNA from 1 species